rnacentral:ncRNA from 1 species
GGGCACCUACGGGGGCCUAUAACAUCAGGGCCCAUAUGGGUCCGCCAAGCAAACGGAAGUAGCAA